GACGAACGCUGGCGGUAUGCUUAACACAUGCAAGUCGAACGAGACGGGAUGGAAGGAGCCUUCGGGUGACGGAAAUCCUAGAAAGUGGCGAACGGGUGAGUAACGCGUGGGUAACCUGCCCUAUGGAAAGGAAUAGCCUCGGGAAACUGGGAGUAAUGCCUUAUAAUAUACGAGAGUCGCAUGGCUUUUGUAUUAAACGCUCCGGUGCCAUAGGAUGGACCCGCGUCCCAUUAGCUAGUUGGUGAGAUAACAGCCCACCAAGGCGACGAUGGGUAACCGGUCUGAGAGGGCGAACGGUCACACUGGAACUGAGACACGGUCCAGACUCCUACGGGAGGCAGCAGUGGGGAAUAUUGCGCAAUGGGGGCAACCCUGACGCAGCAAUACCGCGUGAGUGAAGAAGGUUUUCGGAUCGUAAAGCUCUGUUAUUGGGGAAGAAAAAAGACGGUACCCAAGAAGAAAGUCCCGGCUAACUACGUGCCAGCCACCGCGGUAACAC
rnacentral:rRNA from 1 species